CAACGAGGUCACCUAUAGAGCAUUAAAAACGAGGGCACGGCCUUUCUUUUCUCCAAUUCGCUCGCGUUCACCCGUCGAUUGCGCGGGGAGUCUCCGCACAGUGAUACUAUUUCAUUCACGCCAUAGAAUCGCUCUGGACACACCUAGCGAACCUGUACUCCAUGAAACCGCAGACUACAUUGAGGUAAAGCAUCCUGUGUCCAAUCAUGCUCCCGCCUUCUCAAUCUGCCCCAGGCAAGUCUCCUUGCACCGCUUUACUUAUUCCUUACUUUCAGAUAAUCGGCUCCUGCCGACUUACCUUUCUGGAUCGAUCCUAAAAGACCAUGAAACUCUCCCAUAAAAGGGUUUUUACCGCGUUAAUUUUUUCUCUGCACCUACAUUACACACUCGGCGACAUUCCUACAAAACGCCCUCAGUGACAUUCCUACAUUACGCACCUUUCUGGAUUCGCUCCCGACGCUAACACACCCUCAAGAUUGGAGAGAGAAUACUUGAUAACUAUUGCAGGUCUCAUAUUUUUUGGGUAUGACUUUAAUGGAAGAUAAGAACAUAUAUAUGCUCAACAAGUGGAAAUCAUAGAGCAUAUUUUCCUUGUAACUUUGUUAUGGUAAUUUGGAACCGUAUUCUAAGUUUAUUUAACAGGAGUUUGGAGAGGAGGUUGGUGAAUACUAUUGAUGGUUACAUUCAGGUUGGAACAGUUUUGGUGGUCGGUUUUUUUGUUAAUAUUUCUAUUAUUGUGUUCUUGUUUAUACGUAUGGCUAGAAAUGAGGUUAAAUACAUUGAGAAGGGUGUUGAUAUCUCUUAUACUUUCAAA